rnacentral:lncRNA from 1 species
GCACUCGCAGUCUGGCCUGGUGUCUACCCCCAGGAUUAGCUUCAUCAACCUCAAAUUUUUACAUCUGCCAGUGACUUUUUGGGACUUUGGCUAAUGGACUGUAUGACGGUCAGUACAAGACAAGAUUCUCAAAUGAGAGUCAUUACCUGAGGAUAUAUAUUAACUACACCCAAGAGGCACACCGGGCCUCAUCAGCAUUCUCCAGGCUGACAUCCUCACUGCUGAGAUGCAAGGUUUAGAAAAAGGAGUGGAGAAGGAAGAUGUCAACUAUUGAGCACCUACUGUAUGGAAGCACCGUGCUAGGUAUUUGCACAUACAUUGCCAUAUUAAAAAAUAAACUUAGCAAAAACCUGAAACCAGAAAAGGAAACAGAGGCUGUGUGUGAAACACUCGCCUUGGAUAUGGAUAUCAUUGACUCCUCCAAGAAUAGUAACGCAUAGAAUGUUCUCUGAAAACAUUACUGACCUUUGAUUGUUGAUACUCCCUCUAAACCUUAAGCUCUGGAGAACUGAAGAUUGGCCCUAACAGUGAGCAGUAAAACCAGGGAAGGACACUGGUAUGAAUCCUCUGAGAAUCAGUGCCAUCCUCACUGUUAGAGUUCACUGGCGAAUCUCAACGCUCCACCAAAAUACAACUGUAUCAAGGAUCAUCCUUUGGUAUCACCUUAAUUGGUUUGUUUCCCUUCUGACCAAACAUGUUUCCAUGAGGAAAAAGAAAAUCAUGGGAACCUCCAUUUGAUCUAAAAGAGAAGAAACAAAAUUUGAGGUUGCACAAAUAGAAACUCACAGCAUAGAAGUUUCUAUAGGCUCUCCCUAGCCAAAGUUAGACUGUUGACGGCUGCUGUGAGACCUCAGUUCUUGUCUUCUUAGCUUAAAAUAAUUUAAACAAGAGACACACAGCAAAGGAGAUAGAGUGUGGAACAAUUUGCUGCAAAGGAAAAAAAAUAUUUUGAAAUUUAGGCGCAGGGCUGGGAGCAGUGGCUCACGCCUGUAAUCCCAGCACUUUGGGAGGCCAAGGCGGGCAGAUCACCCGAGGUCAGGAGUUUGAGACCAGCCUGGCCAACAUGGUGAAACCCCUUCUCUACUGAAAAUACAAAAAAUUAGCCAGGUGUGGUGGUGCACGUCUGUAGUCCCAGCUACUUGGGAGGCUGAGGCAGGAGAAUCACUUGAACCUGGGAGGCAGAGGUUGCAGUGAGCCGAGAUCAUGCCACUGCACUUUAGCCUGGGCAACAGAGCCUGACUCCAUCUCAAAAUAAAUAAAUAAUUAAAAAAUUAGAGUUAGGUGCAGAAUGGACAGUACACCCUGAGAGAGAGAGAACAGAGGGCGGGCUGCUCAUAAGGAUGAGUUUCUCCAGCAUUGAUUCUUGCUGGAGAAACUCCCUUUAUGGGAAUUGACAUGAUUAUUCAUAAGGAAGUAGGAAGAGGUGUUACUAGUAAGCAUGUUCUGGGUGGUCCUCUGGGUACACAUGCACAGUAGCUGUCCGUGUCUGUUCAUACAUUACGUGUCUCAUUAGCAUCUUAAAUCUCCCCCAAGGGCUGUGUUUUUUACUAUCAUAAUGAGCAAAGGGUCACUGUGAGGACAGGUAAAAUCAAAAUGCACAUGCUCUCUAUGGGGAAAAUUCCCUAUUGAAAAUAGCUUUGCUUGAAUGAGCUCAGUUACGAUGUAAAUGCUGAGAUUUGUGUUGUUGAUUGUAUGAUCACCAAGGUUGCUGCAUCCCAAGAACAUGGUUACUUCCUUGGAUACCUCUCCUGCCUCAAAAGCAGAUGUAAAAAUGUCAAUACAGGAGAAAUGUGGCCAUCUAACUGAGGGGCACAUUAAUUGUAUUACACAACUGUCCUUGGCCAAGUUUUCUAAUAAGGUAUAAAUGGAUAAACUACAUGAAUAGCAAACUAAAGUAGAUAUAUUAUUUUUAUAGCCUGUAUGGUAACUAGCACACUUGAGAGCCUAAAUUAUUGAAUACUAAUCCUAAAACUCUUCAAGGGAUGGCCAUAGAUCCUUUGUCCUUCUAUUUUAAGUCUUUGAUUACAAAUAGCACUAUUACCCAUGGCCAUGUUCUAAGAGGUUUCUCAGCAUUGUAUUCAGUUGUUUGGUCAAAGUUCCACACUGCAGGAGAGAGUUCUCGCUCUCCUGAACUGAAAAGAAUGAUGGUGCCAAUGUGUAGGAACUCUAAAGCACAAGAAAUCUACAUCUUGAUGUGGUAGUCAUUAGGGCUGUUCCCAGACAUUCCAGUAACUCCUCUGUUAUAAACUGCAUUCUUGUGUUUAUAAAUUCAUAUGUUGAAAUCCUAACUUCCAAUGCAAUAGUAUUAGGAGGUGGGGCCAUCUGGAAGGUAAUUAGGUUUAAAUGAGUUCAUGAGGGUGGAACCCCCAUCAUGGGAUUAUUGACCUUAUAAAAAGAAAAAGAGACUAGAGCUUACUCUCUUGGCCACAUGAGGACACAGCAAGGCAGCAGCUAAGUACAAGCCAGGAAGAGAGACCACAUCAAAAACCAAAUCUGCUGGUGCCUUGAUCUUAGACUUCCCUGCCUCCAGGACUGUAAGAAAUAAACAUUGUUUAAGCCAGCCAGUCUAUGAUGUCCUGUUAUAACCGCCCAAACUGACUAAGACAUCCUCCUUCCAGGUACACAGUGGGACUGCAUUUUGUCACUUCUUUAUAGUUAAAUAUGGCUGCGUGACUCCAUUUAGCUAAUGAAAUAUGAACAUGAUCCCUAAGAGCUAGUACAUGAUUUGCUAUGUGCUCUUCUCCCUGCUAUGGUGAGCUUUAUAGCCUAUGCCGGGAUGGCGCCUCUGCUGCUUGGGGUCUCUGAGCGACUGUAUUGAGUAGACAUAACAGCUGUCACAUGACAGAGACACCAACUUUUAUAGUGUUAAGCUACUAAGAUUUUGGAGUUAUUUGUUACUUCAGCAUAACUUAGCCUAUCCUGACUGAUACAACAACAAUUGUUAACUUCUCUUAAGAAGAGAAACUAACCGUAUUAAUCUAUUCUCACACUGCUAAUAAAGACAUACCUGAAACUGAGUAAUUUAUAAAGGAAAGAGGUUUAAUUGACUUGCAGUUCUGCAGGACUGAGGAGGCCUCAGGAAACUUACAAUCAUGAAGGAAGGGAAACAAACACAUCCUUCUUCACAUGGUGGCAGUGAGGAAAACUGCAGAGUGAAGGCAGAGGGAAAGCACCUUAUAAAACCAUCAGAUCUUGUGAGAACUCACUCACUAUCAUAAGAACAGCAUGGAGGUAACUGCCCCCAUGAUAGAGUUACCUCCCACCAGGUCCCUCCCACAAUGUGUGGGAAUUAUGGGAACUACAAUUCAAGAUGAGAUUUGGGUGGGGACACAGCCAAAUCAUAUCAAUAAUCAAUGGUAUGACUAUGACCAAUAUGAAUAGGAUAAUGACUACUGAUGCCUCAUCAAAAAACAUGUACCCCAGUUUUGGGUUUUUUUUUCCAUGAAUAAGAAUGGAUUUCCUUGACCAAUUAACUUUCUUCUGUUUCUUUUCAAAAUUAGCAGCACACAUUUUUGAGAUUGGAGAUAUCAAAUAGCACUGUAGUCUGUGGCUCUUCCCCAUCUCCAACUAUCAAAAACAUACUUCAGCCUUCCAGCUCCAUCUCGUGAAGCCUUCUGAUCCAGAGACAGUUACCACUUCAGAGUUCUUAUGUACAGAGUUAAUACCUCUCCCGGAAUUCAGCACAUUCACUGAAGUGAAGAAAGCCAGAGAUGGAAAGGCAUAGAGGGAUGAUGGCCAUGUGACAACCGAUGUAAAGGUUGAAGCUAUGCAGUUGCAAGCCAAGGAAUGCCAAGAAUUUCCAGCAACCACCAGAAGCCAAAAGAGAGGCAUCUUCAGACUCUUUCUCUAAACCUCCAGGAAGGAAUCAACUCUACCGACACCUUGAUUUUGGAUUCUGGCAUCUAGAACUGUGAUAAAGAUGAAAGAUCUGAGAUGUGGAAACAGGUCAAUGGCUUGCCUAGUGUCAUAUACUCAGUGAGGCACCAGCAGCUGAGGACAGGACCAAAACUUAUCACUGAAGACCCGGGACAAGUACAUGGAUGGCAUUUACUUACCCAGAAAGCAUGAGACUUGCAAGGUGACUUGACAGAAGAAUGUCAAAGCUCUGUGCAAAGAGGUGAGAGGAACAGAACACAAGCUGUGAUUUACUAUCCAAGGAACCUUGGGCAAGUCACUUACACUUUCUGAACAGUUCCUCAUCUAAAAAAUGAAAGUAACAUCUACCACAUCGAACUUCACUUGGCUGUUUCAAAGACAAAAGAAGUGUUUUAAACAAAACCAUGUGACCUAGGACAUUUUAUAAAAUCUAAGUCAACAUAAGGCAUUGUUAUUUGAGAGGAUUUGUAGAAUCAACAUUUAAAAUGAGCCUGCAGCUGUUGGCACACAAUGAUAAUCCUGAAUUGCAACCAGACAAUUAUAGAAAAUGCUUCCUAAGAGAUGACUAAGAAGUUCCUUUUUGCCAUUCAAUGUGCUAUGAUCAUUUUCACCACUUACUCUAUGGAAAGUGCUACAAAGCAUGCAAGGACAACUGGACUGUGACCCACAUCCUCUAGGAAAUACGGUCUGGUAGAGGAGACAGAUAAACCACUCAUUUCACUGUGAGGAAAAAUGAAAGAAAACAUGUAAUAGCCAAGGAGACCAAAUGUGGGGGGUCCAGAGGAGGCUUGGGUCGGUUCCCAUUCAGCAGCUCAGAGGAAGCUUUUGGGAAGUUGCAGGGUGAUAGGAAAAGAGACCCCAGAUGGCAGGAAUAUUGCAGUGGGGAGAAAUGGAAGCCAAGAACAUACAAUAUUAUAUGACUAAAGAAAAAGGUACAUGGAAGAUUGUAGACAUUCCAAUAAAAAGUUUGUGCAACAUGGUAUUUAGUGGGAUGUUUUUUCCUGUUGUCUUGGAAACGUGGUAGCUCCUCAGUGAAGCUGAAACUGAACACAGCUCCUAAACAACCACAAACACCAGCUAUGACAGCAACACCACUACAGUGGAGCCC